ensembl:lncRNA
GGCUGGUGGAGCUUUGAGAGAUUUUUCCGUACGUGCAAACUCAUUACAGGUGAAAAAGGUGGUCCACCCGUUGAGUCUACUCCAAAAAGGGAGCUAAUGUAGAAUCAUUUAUCAAACAUAUUAGGCAGAUUCACGUGGACGCCAUAUUUUGAUUUCAAAAUGGCAAAACAAACGCAGGAGGUUUGCAGGUAUGUUAUUCUAAAUGGUAAAUGGUAUAAAUGGUAAAUGGACUGUACUUGUAUAGCACUUUUCUAGUCUUCUGACCACUCAAAGCGCUUUAACACUACAUGACAUCAUUCACCCAUUCACACACUGAUGACAGGAGAACCACACACAGUGACACAGUGACACCUGUCCAUCAGUAACCAACAAUCACACACUGUAGUCGCAGCUACAGGAGCAAUGUUGGGUUAAGUGUUUUUCCCAAGGACACAACGACAUGCGGGUUAGCAGAGCCUGGGAUCGAACCGACAACCCUCUGAUUGGACAGAGGGCUGCAGGGUCUGAUUACAGAGCUGCAUCUGGUUGGUUGGUGCUUAAAUGUGGACACGCCCCACUCAGCUGGUCACAUAUUCCUUCCGCUUUAGCUCCAUUUUUGAUCACGGCGAAGACUUCCUGUGUGGAUAGCUUCCUUGCUCCACGCUGCCAAACGCCUGAAGAGUGACUGCGCCCGUCGCAAGAAGGUCUACAGGCUCCUGCAAAGGAAACUGACGAUUCAAACUGUCCAACCACCACGGCUGUCUGCUCUCGGUGUGUUCACCCAGUCCUCUAGUUCGUUCUCUGUUUCGGGCCAGUGGCACUUUCUUCCUCUGACUGCUUUGUGAGACUUCUUGCAUCUUCUCCUUCUUGCAAGUUCUGCAGCCUCCAAUCUGGAACCAUGGACUCCUUGAUCCGUUUGAGUGCCGCAGCUCGGUUCCCCUUUCAAUGGCCACGUCAAUAGCCUUUAGUUUAAAAGCCGCUGUCACACGUUACAGCGUGUCUUCGACAUGUUUAUAUCUGGGGAUGAGCGAUGGCGGGAAUAAAUACCGAAAUCAACCACGCCCUUAUUUUAUCCGCCGGGGUCAAAGGUGAGAAUAAAGGAAAGUAACAAGUUUCGGCUUAAAACCGGCAUUUAAGGAUACUUUCAGUAUGUGUCCUGGGUUAGUUUUAAGAUGUGAGCCAAUGUAACCGGUCCAGACCUAGAGGUGUCUGGACCGGUAACAUGUGAUUCACACUGGAUUAAUGAAGAGACAUACAUCGUGGGUACGUCUUCAUCGAGCCAGCGUCAUUUCAUUCUGGCUCACGUCGCUUGGUUUGCUCCCCGGUGGCACACAUUCGCCAUCUAACGAUGUGGAGGAGUAGGUCCACGAUGCGUUUGACUGCUCAAAAACCUAUUACAUCACCACUGGAAUACAGGAGCCGCAGCAUGGACACAACAGGAAAGUAGAAACCUGAAAUAAAAGUCUGAGAAUAACCGUCUACCAUUUGAAGAGAGUGAGACACAACAUUGAUAGUUGGUCCUCACUAACCACUAUUUAACUAUUUAGACCUACAGUAUUCUUGUAAAACCCCUUAAACGGAUUAUAUAUCCCACCUGGACAGGUCUGGGAAAGUCGGGACUACCUUGCUUUACAUUGACCUGGAUAAGAGAAAAUGGACGAAAAAACUAUUUUUUUAGCAUUGACUAUUAGUUAUGAAAUAGUAUUCCCAGGUGUUCCUAUUUCUUUUCUUUGAUUCCCAGAUGUACACGGGGUCGGUGUGAAGGGGGGGGAUCGGUGCCACCCCACAUACGUCUACCCUGAGGAGGUGAAACAGUUGAUUCGUUGUGUGUUCUCACAGGACAUCUGUGACUACCCCGACCCCUGCCACGACCAGGUGGUGUACGUCACUCUGGAGGAUUUGCACAAAGUUGACAUCAACUGAAGUGUGUGUCUCUUCUUCUAUGCUGAUGAACAACUUCCAGUCAUGGAUCAGCAACAGUUUUGCAAUGUGGGAAGUUGAUUCUCGAGGGUGUUGAUUGAAAGCUUAUUUCAAGAUGUUUUACUGAGUGGUUUCAGUGUCCCUCAACAUGAAUAUUAGGGUUUACAAAUAUUGUAUAUUUAUAUUGGAUCUCCACUCUUGACAAAUUACAGCUGUCAAGCUCAAAUGCUGAUCCACUAUAAGAACCGACUACAGCAUCUGACCGUUUGUGUAGUUACAAUGCCAAGUAGAAUUCACAAUACAUUCAUUGUAUUUAAUUGUAAUUAAUAUGGAGGGACAAUUUUACUCUGUAAUACAAACAGUAAUAAAACAGUGUUUUCUGUUAUUUUUUCCAAUAAAAGAAUAAAAAGUGUUCCACUACCAAUAGGGUUGUAUUUAAUCCGAAAACAUCUAGAUGUCGAGAAGAAAACAACCUUGAAACCUUGAGGCAGCGGUGUCCAGAUUUGAUGAUGUAAAGAUGCCUGGGGGCCAAUAGUACCUUCUGACAUUUUUAACCAUAAAAGUUACAUGAGAUACACGUUCAUUGUCACCAUUAUCUAGUUUUUUUCCAAUGGCAAUGUAGCCAACGAUAUUCCACUCAGGCAGGCAUCGACAACUCUAAAAGCACUGGUUUGUCUUUUAUUCAUCAUUGAACGAACUCCAUGAAGUUGAUAAAUACCUUUUUACAUUGUGAUCCUUUUAAACAGGAUUGAAUAAAUAACUCUGCUAAAGGAGGAAUUGCAUUUUAAAGUUUCAUGGUUUAUUUAACUGUGCUAGCAGGACAUACACAAUAC